UUUCCCCUGCUGUGCUCGUGAUCAGCGGAGACAACUUAGAACCAACAAAGAAAAAACGGAAGCCGUCCCUUGCCGCGGCCGUCAUGCCCUUACCAGGGGAAGACCCAAACGGUAACAUGGCAUCCACCUGGUUACAGGUUCAAGUUGAUCCAUUGACACGGCAUAAUGCGGGGGAAAG
rnacentral:other from 1 species